rnacentral:misc_RNA from 1 species
AAGAAGCCUCCCUUGGUCCAUCUGCGACUUGGGUACUUCAUGGAGAUCGGCAGGAUUGGAAGGAUUUGGCAGGUUUCUUUUCUUUAUAGCAGCAACAAGAACCUGCAACAUAGGGGUCAAGGGGCUGCCCGUUGGCACCCUAUAACGGUAAAAUGGCCUUCCUACAAUGAAGAUGACUAGCGUGAGAGCCAUAACUGCGGUGAGGAUAAUAUCUGCAACACCCCAGCUGAUAUGGUCCUGUACAUAAACAAUU